UACGAAGGUGGCAAGCGUUACUCGGAAUUACUAGGCGUAAAGGGCAGGUAGGUGGCUUGGUUAGUCUGUUGUGAAAGCUCCUUGCUUAACGGGGAGAGGUCAACAGAUACUGCCAGGCUUGAGUAUGGGAGAGGGUACUGGAAUUCCCGGUGUAGCGGUGAAAUGCGCAGAGAUCGGGAGGAACACCAAUGGCGAAAGCAGGUACCUGGACCAUUACUGACACUCAGCUGCGAAAGCUAGGGGAGCAAACAGG
rnacentral:rRNA from 1 species